GAGAGAGAGAGAGAGAGAGAGAGAGAGAGAGAGAGAGAGAGAGAGAGAGAGAGAUGCAGUUGUAUAUAUUAACUUGUAAUGCACAAAUAAACGUGUGUGUGUGUGUGUGUGUGUGUGUGUGUGUGUGUGUGUGUGUGUGUGUGUGUGUGUGUGUGUGUGUGUGUGUGUGUGUGUGUGUGUGUGUGUGUGUGUGUGUGU